rnacentral:rRNA from 1 species
UACGGGGGGGGCAAGCGUUGUUCGGAAUUACUGGGCGUAAAGGGCGCGUAGGCGGCAUGACAAGUCACUUGUGAAAUCUCUGGGCUUAACCCAGAACGGCCAAGUGAUACUGUCGCGCUAGAGUGCGGAAGGGGCAAUCGGAAUUCUCGGUGUAGCGGUGAAAUGCGUAGAUAUCGAGAGGAACACCUGAGGUGAAGACGGGUUGCUGGGCCGACACUGACGCUGAGUGCGCGAAAGCCAGGGGAGCAAACGGG